rnacentral:lncRNA from 1 species
AUGGUGAGUUAUAAGGCUGACUCCCCUUGGUUUUUCUGGAGGCAACAGCCUCUAGAGAGACCCUUGGCUAAGGCCUCUGAACUCCUGCCCAGUUCAGACCAGGCCAGAGCAGCUAUCCUUCCCUUUUUCCUCUCUCUCUCUCUGUCUCUCUCUGUCUCUCUGUCUCUGUCUCUGUCUCUGUCUCUGUCUCUCUCUCUCUCUCUCUCUCUCUGUUUCUCUCUCUCUCUCUCUCUCUUUUUUUUUUCACUUUGCCCUUGUUUUUAUAUGUCAGGGCACUUUUCUUUCAUGAUUUUUGGAAAUACGAUGUCCAGACUCUUUUUUAUAUAGCUUUCAGAUAAUCAAAUGAUUCUUAAGUUAUCUCUCCUUAACCUGUUUUCUAGGUUGAUUGUUUUUAAUAUGAUGUAUCUUAUAUUUUCUUUCAUUUUUUAUUUUGAUUUUGUUUUAAUAUUUCUUGUUGUUUUAUAGAAUCAUUAAAAUACUAAUUUCUGAUCAUCUGUUACUAAGAGAGGUUUUGUAUCUUGUGCUAAGCUGUUAAUUCUCUUUUUUUAUUCUUUCCUCUACUACUACUUUCAUUAAUAAUGUCAGUGGGAACUCUUUUUUUUUAAGGCUCUUACACAAUUUCUUCUAGGAUUUCUAAUUGAUUUUGUGAUCAAACUCAGUUUUUCUUCAAAGCUUACAUCUUGUAAUAAGAAAAAAAAAUUGUACAAAAAUAUUUAUAGGCUUGCUCUUUGUGGUAGCAAAAAAUUGGAAAAUUAGGGGGUGUUCCUCGAUUGGGGAAUGGCAGGACAAAUUGUGGUGAUGGUGAUGGAAUACUACUGUGCUAAAAGGAAUAAUGAACUGGAGGAAUUCUAUGUGAACUGGUACGACCUCCAGGAAUUGAUGCAGAGUGAAAGGAGCAGAACCAAAGAACAUUGUACACAGAUACUGUGCCACAAUCAAAUGUAAUGGACUUCUCUACUAGCAGCAAUGCAAUGAUCCAGGACAAUUCGGAGGGUCUUAUGAGAAAAAAAUGCUAUCCACAUCCAAAGAAAGAACUGUGGGAAUAGAAAAACAGAAGGAAAACAUGAUUGAUCACAUGGGUCAAUGGGGAUAUGAUUGAGGAUGUUGACUUUGAAUGAACACACUGAAUUAAUACACAAAUAUUAAUAAUAUGGAAAUAGGUUUUGAACAAUGAUAAAUGUAUAACCCAGUGGAACUGCUUGUCAGAUUCGGGAAGGGGAGAAAAAAGUGGGGGAUUGGGGAGAUCAUGGAUCAUAUAACCAUGGAAAAAUAUUAUAAAUUUUAAAAGGGAGGAAAAGCUUAUGUCUUGGGGAUUCCUGAAAUCACAAUAAUUUUUUAUCUUUUUUUUGUUUAAUCAUUCUUGGAGAUAGGACAUUUUAAGGUCCCUCCUUCACACUUGAAGAAUAAAUCACAAAUUGCAACUCCUCUGGAGCCA